rnacentral:lncRNA from 1 species
CUUCUCACAGAUACACCAUUGAGCUGAGGUGUACAAGGAGAAUUCCAUCAUGACACUGUGUCAUUUUUUUUAGAUAAUCGAUAAAUUUUUUAUUUGAUAUUACAUCUUCGAUCUGAUCAAAGUAUCUUUAAGAUUUUUUUUAUUUUUUUUUCUACUUCACAUCUGAAUUUUUUGAACCUUUCAAAGUCUUUCAGAUUUGUAUCUCACAUAUAUACCUAUUCCAUGACUGUUCAUCGGUAAAGGUGAUGAAGUAGUGAUAACUUCUUAGUCUGGCUCAUCAAAUGG